rnacentral:rRNA from 1 species
GUGUAGGAUAGGUGGGAGGCUUUGAAGCGUGGACGCCAGUCUGCGUGGAGCCGACCUUGAAAUACCACCCUUUAAUGGCUGGUGUUCUAACGUAGACCCGUAAUCCGGGUUGCGGACAGUGUCUGGUGGGUAGUUUGACUGGGGCGGUCUCCUCCCAAAGAGUAACGGAGGAGCACGAAGGUUGGCUAAUCCUGGUCGGACAUCAGGAGGUUAGUGCAAUGGCAUAAGCCAGCUUGACUGCGAGCGUGACGGCGCGAGCAGGUGCGAAAGCAGGUCAUAGUGAUCCGGUGGUUCUGAAUGGAAGGGCCAUCGCUCAACGGAUAAAAGGUACUCCGGGGAUAACAGGCUGAUACCGCCCAAGAGUUCAUAUCGACGGCGGUGUUUGGCACCUCGAUGUCGGCUCAUCACAUCCUGGGGCUGAAGUAGGUCCCAAGGGUAUGGCUGUUCGCCAUUUAAAGUGGUACGCGAGCUGGGUUUAGAACGUCGUGAGACAGUUCGGUCCCUAUCUGCCGUGGGCGCUGGAGAAUUGAGGGGGGCUGCUCCUAGUACGAGAGGACCGGAGUGGACGCAUCACUGGUGUUCGGGUUGUCAUGCCAAUGGCACUGCCCGGUAGCUAAAUGCGGAAGAGAUAAGUGCUGAAAGCAUCUAAGCACGAAACUUGCCCCGAGAUGAGUUCUCCCUGACCCUUUAAGG